ACAUGAUCUCACUUGAACUCGAGAGGGGACGUGUUAGUCCGCUCUUCACAGCUCUUUCAAGUGUGUGGCAAAGAGAGAGAGACAGAGGGUGUGUGUGUGUGUCAUGAAGCUGAUGUGUGAUUGUCAACAUCUCAAUGUUUCAGUAACACACUCUGGCUGUGGCGGCGAGGUAUAGAUGGCUUCUCCUUUUACUGAGCUGGAGGUGUUGACGAUCAUGUUCUCUCUCCUGGUAUUCACCCUCUUCACACUCACUGGGAUGCUCAAUGAGGAAUGUGCACACUCAAAUGAGACAAAUGCACAGCUACAGAGUGAGGAGCUCAUCGUCUGACUCCAGAUGAGGUUCAUAACUGAGACUGAAAAACUACAGAGGGCAACAGUGGUCUCGCUUCCUGUUAGUGGCAUCUUGAGGACAAGUUAGCCAAAGACGUGUGUGUGUGUGUGUGUGUGUGUGUGUGUGUGUGUGUGUGUGUGUGUGUGUGGGUCGGUGUGUGUUAUCAGUUACUAGGGCAAAGUCUAAAUGGUGACCUAUGAGCAUGCAUGUUUGUGUACUCUGUUAUAGGAUCCAGUAUUACCUGCUUCCAGGAUGAGGCACAAAGGAGUGGCCUCGAUGUUACACUGUAAAAAAAAAAAAGGUUAAUAAACAGUAUCUCACACAUGCUUUCUUUCCUCUCUGAGAGUGUAUACAUGUGAAAACUCACAGAAGUGCUUUUUACUGACCUUCAGAUCUAAAAAUAGCUGCUGUGAUUCUUC